rnacentral:lncRNA from 7 species
GAGAAACUGGGAAGAGAUAUGAAGUAGCGGGACCAGUUUUUCUAAAAAGCUCAACUGAUCAAAGAGAAGGAAGGAAGCAAUUUGCUGGGCUCCCAGGACACCAACGCAGAGCUACCUUCGGAGCCGGCACUGUGUGACUGCAUGGAGACUGUCUGUGCCAGUGGGCCAGA